rnacentral:rRNA from 1 species
GACGAACGCUGGCGGCGUGCUUAACACAUGCAAGUCGAACGGAAAGGCCCUGCUUGCAGGGUACUCGAGUGGCGAACGGGUGAGUAACACGUGGGUGAUCUGCCCUGCACUUCGGGAUAAGCCUGGGAAACUGGGUCUAAUACCGGAUAGGCGCCAUUUUUAGUGUGAUGGUUGGAAAGUUUUUUCGGUGUAGGAUGAGCUCGCGGCCUAUCAGCUUGUUGGUGGGGUAAUGGCCUACCAAGGCGGCGACGGGUAGCCGGCCUGAGAGGGUGGACGGCCACAUUGGGACUGAGAUACGGCCCAGACUCCUACGGGAGGCAGCAGUGGGGAAUAUUGCACAAUGGGCGCAAGCCUGAUGCAGCGACGCCGCGUGGGGGAUGACGGCCUUCGGGUUGUAAACUCCUUUCGCUAGGGACGAAGCUUUUGUGACGGUACCUAGAUAAGAAGCACCGGCUAACUACGUG